CCCCAUACUACUACACACCACCCAUCCCCAUCAAUUGGGCUCUCGCACAUCAGUUGCUCCAGUCUGCUGCCCUCCUCUCAUCUAACUGCACAAUCAAGACAACACAUAGCACUACCUUUUGGUCCAGCAUGAAUUCCCCUCUGUGAAUCCAUCUUGACUGCUCCUUACAAACUUCUUCUCUUCUGGUCACAUGGCAAUGACACCUGCAACAAGCUGUUACAUCACCUUCCCAGGAACAGAGGUGAGGUGAGGCCAACCUACCUCCAAGUUGCACACGCCAUCCUCCACACCCUUUCUGAAGGCUGCGGUGGCAUCCGCCAUCCUCCAGUCUUCAGGUACCUUUCCCCACAGGAAACAGCAGGGAAAAGUGACAGAGAGCGCCAUUUGCCGGUCACCGCUGCCAGCUCUCAGCGGGCACAGGCAUAGCCCUCUACAGCUCAGGCAUUUGCUGGCCUCCUUUCUGCCUGAACCACUUUUGACCAGCUCCUCUGCAACUGAGGGGAAGGCAACCUUCCUCUGAGACUCUCUCCUCCAGGACCCCAGGUUGCCCAGGAGCACUCUCAGCAGAGACCACUGAAACCAAAACAGGCAUCCAGCAUGUCCUCCAUCCUCCAUUACUCAGGCCCUUGCCUUGUGAAGCACAGGCCUGCAAUUUCUCCAGUCUCUCCUGUUGACAAACUUCCAUUAGCCUUGACCUCCCUCCCAAAGCUGAUACUCAGAGGACUUGGCCUUCCUCAGCCUCUCUCUUCCUUCUCCCCUUCAAGUUCCUCAGUCAGCCCUGCAGGUCCCCCACCAUUCCUGCGCACUUCCUUCCUCCUUGGGACGCAGUGCACCUCAGCAUGGAUGAAGUAAUGCUCCAGCAUUCACAGGACCCCUUCCUAUGCUUGAGCAAGGGUUACCUCCAAGUAGGCCCUUCAAGAGGACAAACCUGGCUCCCUCUAAGUCCAGUGUUUCAAUCCUACUCAUUGCUUUGCAGCUUCCACACAAGAUCCCAAACGCUGCGGUCUCACGACUGGCACGCUCCAGGCUGCCCCUGGCCUUCCUGUCCCCAAAUGGCUCUUCUGCAAUAGGGAGCUCCUCAAUGCCUCCUUCGUCACCUGUGUCAGAAGAUCUUACCUUUGACACAUUGCAGGAAACUCCUGGAGCCUACCAUGAGAACUAGCCUCACAGCUGUGGGCACCAUUUCCAGCUGUGUGCAGAAGGUCUAUCAGCUUCCUCACCCUGGUCUGUGACCAACACCCCCACUCAGGUCACCCACUUUUACCUGCCUCUUCAGCCUCACGCACAAACGCUCCGCUGGUUCUUCAGUCAUCCCUAGGUGGAGCUCGAUACGUUCCCGUUCUCUCCCUCGAAAAGAGACUCCACCGCCUGGCCGGUCUGCCUUUCCUAAAAGGAACAGAGCCAUCCACGACAGCACUUCAGUCGUGCGAGCUGCCCUGCCAGGUCUCCACGGUGGGAACCUAAAUCGUGCUCCUGCAGUUACACGGGAAGGAAGAGGCGGGGAAAAAUAAAACCACGGUCCCAACCUGCUCGCUCCCACCGCUGGAAACGGGAUGGGUGAGAGCACCCGCAAAACACUCCGCAGUGGCCGAGGCCACCCCGGGAUCGUGCUCGGUCUCGGGCGGAGGCCCCGUGCCGGUCCUACUAAAAAGCCACGCGGGAGCCCCCAGCGGCGGCGCCGUGCCGAUCCCAAAGACACGGAGGCAGUCGGGCAGCAACCCUACAGGAGCCCCAGCAGGGGAGAUCUUACCGAGCGACUCUCAAACACUCACCGCUUCCACGAGCUCACUGCUUCGGGCCGAUGAGAGGCUCUGCUACAGCCCUCGCUCAGCCUGCAACACGAGAAACCUUUUGUUUCAGCAGCCCUUGGCCUCGCUUCUCUCUCCCGGCAGCACAGAGGCUGCACGAAUACGGCCCCAUCGCGUUCGCUCCUACCGAGGAGAGCCUGAAGAACUGAAGCACCCGCUAAAAGAAAUCCCGAGGGUGAGGGGGGCUGAGAGCACCCCGGGGCUGUGCGAGGACUCGGGGGUCGGAGCGGCAGCCGCCUCCGAAAACGCGACGGCAGCCGGGCGGCGGCGGCGCCGUAUCGGCUCCGCACAGCCGGGGGAGCCCGGCGGCGACCUAACGCCGGCCCCGAGAAGAGCGGGGUCCGACAGCCGCCAGCUCCGGAGAUCCUGACGGCUCCUGAGCGCUCACCGUCCCCUUACUACCCGAACCGCUCACCUGUUUGGGCUGGUCCUUACCGCAAAAGGGCUCACAGCAGCCUGAAACAAAACGACACCACGAGAACAUUAAAAAGAACCUGAAGGCGCCGUCCCCCCCCCCCCAAAAAAAAAACCCGCGUACCGCUUCUCAGCCUCAGCAGCACCAGGGCCCGACAAAGAAACAGAACUCACUCCGUCUCCCAUACAGAACCGCAGAAACUCCCCCGUGGCUCCCGGCAGCCUCCGGAGGAGCUUAAGAGGCUUUGGGGCGGGCCCCGCCCGCGGCUCCCGACGAGGCGCAGCUGCGCCCGGCCGGC
ensembl:lncRNA